GGAAGUAAAAGUCGUAACAAGGUCUCCGUUGGUGAACCAGCGGAGGGAUCAUUACCGAGUUAUCCAACUCCCAACCCCUGUGAAUUAUACCUUUAAUUGUUGCUUCGGCGGGACUUCGCGCCCGCCGGGGACCCAAACCUUCUGAAUUUUUUAAUAAGUAUCUUCUGAGUGGUUAAAAAAAAAUGAAUCAAAACUUUCAACAACGGAUCUCUUGGUUCUGGCAUCGAUGAAGAACGCAGCGAAAUGCGAUAAGUAAUGUGAAUUGCAGAAUUCAGUGAAUCAUCGAAUCUUUGAACGCACAUUGCGCCCGUCAGUAUUCUGGCGGGCAUGCCUGUUCGAGCGUCAUUACGCCCCUCAAGUCCCCUGUGGACUUGGUGUUGGGGAUCGGCGAGGCUGGUUUUCCAGCACAGCCGUCCCUUAAAUUAAUUGGCGGUCUCGCCGUGGCCCUCCUCUGCGCAGUAGUAAAACACUCGCAACAGGAGCCCGGCGCGGUCCACUGCCGUAAAACCCCCCAACUUUUUAUAGUUGACCUCGAAUCAGGUAGGACUACCCGCUGAACUUAAGCAUAUCAAUAAGCGGAGGA
rnacentral:rRNA from 1 species